GACGUAGGGGGCGAGCGUUGUCCGGAUUUACUGGGCGUAAAGGGCGUGUAGGCGGCUUAGCAAGUCAGAUGUGGAAGCCCUGAGCUCAACUCAGGGAGGUCAUCUGAUACUGCUAAGCUAGAGGGCAGGAGAGGAGAGCGGAACUUCCGGUGUAGCGGUGAAAUGCGUAGAUAUCGGAAGGAACGCCGGUGGCGAAGGCGGCUCUCUGGACUGACCCUGACGCUGAGGCGCGAAAGCUAGGGGAGCGAACGGG
rnacentral:rRNA from 1 species